CACGCUGUAAACGAUGAGUGCUAGGUGUCGGGUGUCAAAGCUCGGUGCCGCAGUAAACACAUUAAGCACUCCGCCUGGGGAGUACGUUCGCAAGAAUGAAACUCAAAGGAAUUGACGGGGACCCGCACAAGCAGCGGAGCAUGUGGUUUAAUUCGAAGCAACGCGAAGAACCUUACCAGGGCUUGACAUCCCUCUGACCGCUCUAGAGAUAGAGUUUUCUCUUCGGAGACAGAGGAGACAGGUGG
rnacentral:rRNA from 1 species